rnacentral:rRNA from 1 species
UAGGAAUCUACCUAGUAGAAUAGGAUAGCCACUAGAAAUGGUGGGUAAUACUGUAUAAUCCCUGCGGGGGAAAGAUUUAUCGCUACAUGAUGAGCCUAUGUUAGAUUAGCUAGUUGGUGGGGUAAUGGCCUACCAAGGCAGUGAUCUAAAGCUGGUCUGAGAGGAUGAUCAGCCACACUGGAACUGAGACACGGUCCAGACUCCUACGGGAGGCAGCAGUGGGGAAUAUUGGACAAUGGGCGCAAGCCUGAUCCAGCUAUGCCGCGUGAGUGAGGAAGGCCUUAGGGUUGUAAAACUCUUUCAGUGGGGAAGAUAAUGACGGUACCCACAGAAGAAGUCCCGGCAAACUCCGUGCCAGCGGCCGCGCUAAUA